rnacentral:rRNA from 1 species
UUAUAUGAGAGUUUGAUCCUGGCUCAGGAUGAACGCUGGCGGCGUGCCUAAUACAUGCAAGUCGAACGAGUUCUGAUUAUUGAAAGGUGCUUGCAUCUUGAUUUAAUUUUGAACGAGUGGCGGACGGGUGAGUAACACGUGGGUAACCUGCCCUUAAGUGGGGGAUAACA